UGAUACAGUGCCUGAUAUGUGUUCUUCAUUGUCAGAUAUUGAUGCAACAGGGAGACCAAGCAGUGGUCUUACUCUAGGUAACCUGGUAUGGCUUGGGUCUUAUGCAAGAUGCAAGACUACACCUGAAGCACACUACUUCCUAGCCCCAGGUGUCACUUUCACAGUAAAUUCUGGAGGAAAUAUUACAAAAAUACCAGUAUACAAACGACUUGUUUGUGCGAUAGAUAAGGACAAAUAUCAUUUCUCUUAGCAACCUCUUGUUAUAUAUGUAUGUCUCCUGGGGCCUUUGUGUUCCGUCUGCCUGUACUGAGGAGGAUAUUGCCUUGGGUGUUGGCAUCAUUACCAAAGGCGACCUCACAAACUUGCGAGUUUUUGGAAGAAAAAGAAGGCAAAAUACAGCACAAAGGUAAUUAACCCAGAAAACUGGGAAUUUGGUUUGCAAGGGAUAUUAAGGUCAUGAGAAUAAAGGAAAUGAUCAUCAACUAAAGAAGCUCUAGAUUGUUACUCAAAUUCUCCUUGUCAGCACAUUAGGAAAGGUAUAGAGAACAGUAUAGAGAAUAUGCAUAUUGAAGUUAGGGUGCAAAGUGGUAACAAAGAAGAAAUGCAAUUGAAAGAAAGCAAAAUAACACAUUAUGUUGUUUUAGCCAAAAGUAUCAUUAUUUAGCCUUUUAAUUAAGUAUUGCAUGCUCAGAUUAAAGUGCAGUUGAACCUGUGUUAGGUGGUCACCCUGGAGGAAUGACAGGAUAACCACUUUAUAGAUGUUGGCUGACUGCCUGACCCUUUAUCUUCCAGAUCAAAUUUUUAAUUCUCUUUACUGUCAACCAUACAAUUCUUAUAAUGUUAGUUCAGAGAA